rnacentral:tRNA from 1 species
GGGGGUGUAGCUCAACGGUAGAGCACUCGCCUUUUAAGCGAUUGGUUCCGGGUCCGAAUCCCGGCGCCCCCA